AUUUAUAUCAAAGUCUAUAUAAAUACAUACAAUUAUCACAUUGUCGACUAAUCAUGAUAGAUAUCAUCAGACGAAUUAGACCCGCAAUUGGUUUUAGAAAAAUAGUUAUACGUUUGGUUUCCUUAUCAGGUACAUGUAUGUACAUACAUAUAUAAAACUCUGAUCUGCAAAAUCUAAAGAGCAAUAUUUCAUUACUACAUCGAUACAAUCUGCGCCUGUAAUAGAUUGACCAUUGCAUAAAUAUAAAGCCAACUAUAUAUACACACAGUUUACAUACAUAUGUAUGUAUAGUAUGCAAUGGUCAUUGGCGUUUAAUCGCUUUUUCAAAGAUAACAAACACAUUACCAGCCAACAAACAGAGGCAAUUAGUGAACCGAUACUCAAAUUUCCCCGGGAUUUUCCAGACCGACCAAUGAAUGAAAAUGAGGCAACAAAAUACUUACAGUCAGGAAAACCAACACACGCGCGCUAAUGACACAAAUCCGUCUGGGUCCGGGACACUCGGAGCUCCUGGGCAAUGCUAAUUGCCUUGAGUCACAUGCCGCAAUGGUCGACAAAGAUGAGGUUUAGAAAAGGAAAGGAAACGAAAGGAAAUGAAAGGAAGUGGAAGUGCACUUAACAUUUUUCAGGAUAAGCGAAAAUAUUGCUUAGCAAAAUAAGGAAAAUAGUAUGCAAAAAGCCGAUAUUCUGUAGUCAAAUUACCGGAAAUCUUUUUUUUUCCCCUUUUGAGCUGACUUAUGACUAAGGGGAAUGUAAGCUGAUGAUCAUGAAUUUAUGUAAGCCCAAUUCGAUACGAUCCGGACCGACCAACCAGCACUUCUGACCGUACCCCCCAAAGUGUCCUUUUGCGGUUUUGUCGGUGCCAUCUCUCAUCUCAUUUUUGGUCCUAGGCCCAGACAAUGGCAAACAAAUUUUGUUUCUGUGAGCACAAAACAGACAAUAAUCAUAACAAUAAUUUCGAAAAACUGCAUAGACUAUAUAACAGUCGGCGGUCGAUGUGCCAGAGUGAGGCCAUAAACCUCACAUCUCAACGACAAGCAGCCCAGCCAACUUGUUGUUUCCCAUUGUUCCCAGCGAAGGAUAGCAGCAUCCCUGGGUCUGGGACUGCGACUGCGACUGCGACGGGGCUUCGACUGGGACAAAGUGUGAUGAUUUUUAUGACUUGCCUGUGAAUUUUUGCCGACACUGACGCCGAAAUGUUCACCGAGGCUGCUGGGACCCAGCACAAGUGGCAACAAGUGACAAGUGGCACAGAGGCGACAGUCGAUUGGCGCCAGUUUGAUAUCCUUCUAACGGUUCUCCGAGCCGCCAGGCAAUUUGUUAGGCCCCUUUCCCUGGCCUCAAGUGUCGUUUAAACGUUUGAUUAGGACAAACAUAUCAAAGAGGCGGAUCUCUGAGAUCUUUCAAGAGAGAAAGAGAGACAGAUCGAAAAAGAGACUCUUUCGGUCUCUAGGAUGUAAAAAACGGUAGCGGUGGCAACUUGUACCAUGCUGAUUAAAGAUAACACUGUCAAGUACUUCAACAGAUGUUUUAAGGACCACGAUCAUGUUAAUAGCGGUUUUUGUAUUUCAAAUACUUAUUCUCACAAUCAGAUUUAACAUUUGAGAUUUUGGGUUUCAACUUAACUAUCUACAUACACAGAUCUAAAAUGUAAAAUUGUUGAGCACUAGAAUAGUCUGGAAAAACAUUAAAUAUUAAUAUUUAGGAUCCCCCUGUGAAAGGCAUAGGCAGGUAUGCGAAAUGAUUGCACUGUGUUGCCAAUCAUUUUUGCCUCCCCCAAGCCGAAAUUUGUUUUUGCUUUCGAUUACAUUGCACCAUUUUAUCAAAAAUAAGGUGAAAUAAACAUAAGACUCGUCUCAUUAA